GCACAGAGGAGCUUGCUCCUCGGGUGACGAGUGGCGGACGGGUGAGUAAUGUCUGGGAAACUGCCCGAUGGAGGGGGAUAACUACUGGAAACGGUAGCUAAUACCGCAUAACGUCGCAAGACCAAAGUGGGGGACCUUCGGGCCUCACACCAUCGGAUGUGCCCAGAUGGGAUUAGCUUGUAGGCGGGGUAACGGCCCACCUAGGCGACGAUCCCUAGCUGGUCUGAGAGGAUGACCAGCCACACUGGAACUGAGACACGGUCCAGACUCCUACGGGAGGCAGCAGUGGGGAAUAUUGCACAAUGGGCGCAAGCCUGAUGCAGCCAUGCCGCGUGUAUGAAGAAGGCCUUCGGGUUGUAAAGUACUUUCAGCGGGGAGGAAGGUGUUGAGGUUAAUAACCUCAGCAAUUGACGUUACCCGCAGAAGAAGCACCGGCUAACUCCGUGCCAGCAGCCGCGGUAAUACGGAGGGUGCAAGCGUUAAUCGGAAUUACUGGGCGUARAGCGCACGCAGGCGGUCUGUUAAGUCAGAUGUGAAAUCCCCGGGCUUAACCUGGGAACUGCAUUUGAAACUGGCAGGCUUGAGUCUCGUAGAGGGGGGUAGAAUUCCAGGUGUAGCGGUGAAAUGCGUAGAGAUCUGGAGGAAUACCGGUGGCGAAGGCGGCCCCCUGGACGAAGACUGACGCUCAGGUGCGAAAGCGUGGGGAGCAAACAGGAUUA
rnacentral:rRNA from 1 species